rnacentral:ncRNA from 1 species
UAUGGAGAAGCCGAAAACCAUAGAAACAGAGUAGGCA